rnacentral:rRNA from 1 species
UGGGGAAUAUUGCACAAUGGGGGAAACCCUGAUGCAGCAACGCCGCGUGAAGGAUGAAGUAUUUCGGUAUGUAAACUUCUAUCAGCAGGGAAGAAGAAGACGGUACCUGACUAAGAAGCUCCGGCUAACUACGUGCCAGCAGCCGCGGUAAUACGUAGGGGGCAAGCGUUAUCCGGAUUUACUGGGUGUAAAGGGAGCGCAGGCGGCGCAGUAAGUCAGAAGUGAAAGCCCGGGGCUUAACUCCGGGACUGCUUUUGAAACUGCCGUGCUUGAUUUCAGGAGAGGCAAGCGGAAUUCCUAGUGUAGCGGUGAAAUGCGUAGAUAUUAGGAGGAACACCAGUGGCGAAGGCGGCUUGCUGGACUGAUAAUGACGCUGAGGCUCGAAAGCGUGGGGAGCAAACA